rnacentral:rRNA from 1 species
GAUGAACGCUAGCGACAGGCCUAACACAUGCAAGUCGAGGGGCAACGGGGAUGUUAGCUUGCUAAUAUCUGCCGGCGACCGGCGCACGGGUGAGUAACGCGUAUGCGACCUGCCCGUCACAGGGGGAUAAUCCGGAGAAAUCCGGUCUAAUACCGCAUAAUAUCGUGAGUCUGCAUGGAUUUACGAUUAAAGGAGUGAUCCGGUGACGGAUGGGCAUGCGUGACAUUAGCUAGUCGGCGGGGUAACGGCCCACCGAGGCGACGAUGUCUAGGGGUUCUGAGAGGAAGGUCCGCCACACUGGUACUGAGACACGGACCAG